GGGCUGGGGCUCAGUGGUAGAGCACUUGCCUAGCAUGUGUGAGGCCCUGGGUUGGAUCCUCAGCACCACA
rnacentral:tRNA from 1 species